rnacentral:rRNA from 1 species
UGGGGAAUAUUGGACAAUGGGCGAAAGCCUGACGCAGCCAUGCCGCGUGAAUGAUGAAGGUCUUAGGAUUGUAAAAUUCUUUCACCGGGGACGAUAAUGACGGUACCCGGAGAAGAAGCCCCGGCUAACUUCGUGCCAGCAGCCGCGGUAAUACGAAGGGGGCUAGCGUUGCUCGGAAUUACUGGGCGUAAAGGGUGCGUAGGCGGCAUAUCAAGUCACUUGUGAAAUCUCCGGGCUUAACUCGGAACUGCCAAGUGAUACUGAUGUGCUAGAGUGCAGAAAGGGCAACUGGAAUUCUUGGUGUAGCGGUGAAAUGCGUAGAUAUCAAGAGGAACACCUGAGGCGAAGGCGAGUUGCUAGGCUGACACUGACGCUGAGGUACGAAAGCUAGGGGAGCGAACGGGAUUAGAUACCCGCGUAGUCCCUGAGCGGGCUGGCAAGGCGCAU